rnacentral:rRNA from 1 species
UGGGGAAUAUUGCACAAAGGGCGGAAGCCUGAUGCAGCAACGCCGCGUGCGGGAUGACGGCCUUCGGGUUGUAAACCGCUUUCGCCUGUGACGAAGCGUGAGUGACGGUAAUGGGUAAAGAAGCACCGGCUAACUACGUGCCAGCAGCCGCGGUGAUACGUAGGGUGCGAGCGUUGUCCGGAUUUAUUGGGCGUAAAGGGCUCGUAGGUGGUUGAUCGCGUCGGAAGUGUAAUCUUGGGGCUUAACCCUGAGCGUGCUUUCGAUACGGGUUGACUUGAGGAAGGUAGGGGAGAAUGGAAUUCCUGGUGGAGCGGUGGAAUGCGCAGAUAUCAGGAGGAACACCAGUGGCGAAGGCGGUUCUCUGGGCCUUUCCUGACGCUGAGGAGCGAAAGCGUGGGGAGCGAACA